rnacentral:rRNA from 1 species
UACAGAGGGUGCGAGCGUUGUCCGGAAUCACUGGGCGUAAAGGGCGCGUAGGCGGUCCGGUAAGCGCGUGGUGAAAGCUCGGGGCUCAACCCCGAGUCGGCCGUGCGAACUGCGGGACUGGAGCAGAUCAGAGGCAGGCGGAAUUCCGGGUGUAGCGGUGGAAUGCGUAGAGAUCCGGAAGAACACCGGUGGCGAAGGCGGCCUGCUGGGAUCUUGCUGACGCUGAGGCGCGACAGCGUGGGGAGCAAACAGG